UCCACCCUCAGUACCUCAGUAUCACCUGCC
rnacentral:piRNA from 1 species